UACGGAGGGUGCAAACGUUGCUCGGAAUCAUUGGGCGUAAAGCGCACGUAGGCGGCUCGUUAAGUCGGAUGUGAAAGCCCCGGGCUCAACCCGGGAAGUGCAUUCGAAACUGGCGAGCUUGAAUAUGGAAGAGGGUCGCGGAAUUCCCGGUGUAGAGGUGAAAUUCGUAGAUAUACGGGAGGAACACCAGUGGCGAAGGCGGCGACCUGGGCCAAUAUUGACGCUGAGGUGGCGAAAAGCGUGGGGAGCAAACAGG
rnacentral:rRNA from 1 species